GGCUUGGCAGAAUCAGCGGGG
rnacentral:ncRNA from 2 species